rnacentral:rRNA from 1 species
UACGAGGGGUGCAAGCGUUAUUCGGAAUCAUUGGGCGUAAAGGGUGCGUAGGCGGUUUGUUAAGUUUAUUGUUUAAUCCUCCGGCUUAACCGGAGAAAUGCGAUGAAAACUGGCGGACUAGAGGGUGAGAGAGAGAAGUGGAAUUCCCGGAGUAGCGGUAAAAUGCGUGGAUCUCGGGAGGAACACCAAUGGCGAAGGCAGCUUCUUGGCUCAUUCCUGACGUUGAGGCACGAAAGCGUGGGGAGCAAACAGG